AGUUGACAAGCGUCCGAAUUUUGAUCGAGCGAUUACAUCAUGGAAAUAUUUUCCUUCUUUCCCAGAAUUUUAAGGACGGCCCAGCUGGUUCUGGUGGCUUCUUUCAGGGAUUUCAUCUGGACAAUACCACCAUCGUUACCUGUGGAGACAAGAGGAUGGCAUUUUAAAGCAUCUAUUUAACAUCUAUUGGCAGGGUUCCAAGGGGUUGCCCUAAAGAAGAGGGGGGUCAAGCUAUUCUCCAAAGAAUCAGAAGGCAGGACGAAAAGGAAUGGAUGGUAUCUAAUCAAGGAGAGAAACA